rnacentral:lncRNA from 1 species
AGUAGCAUUACAGCCACACCGGACAAUACGAUCUUUCUUCUCCAAACUAAUUUAAACCACUUGGUUCCAUAGCACUUCUGAAUUUCCUCCUCCAAUCCAGACAAGAUGAUUUUCUUUUUCUUUUUUCUGGAAAAGCAACUCCAGGAUCCCGGUUUAUAUCCUAAAAUGGUGAUCCAUUUGUUGGCGUUUUUGAGCUCCUUUAGUCCCACAUCGGCGAACUCAAGGGAACUUGAGGUCUUUAUAUUAAGUUAGUCACCCUUACUAGUGAUUAGGUGUUGGAUUAUUUGGAAUGAGAAUUGAGGUUUGGACCACUAAUUGUGUGGAUUAGGUUUGAUGAUUAUAUCAUAAUAUUAAUUCAAAUUAAGUUUUUAAUUAAAAUUAAUUAAAAACAUUUUGAUUAAUAAACACAACUCUUUGGAAAGAGUUGAAAAGGUGUGAAAGAGCCUAUACAACUCUUUGUGUAGCUUCAUAUACAUUCAAAAGAUAUUUGAAGAGGUAUGAAUGAGCCUAUAUAACUGGAGUCUCAGUUCCAUCGUAGAUCAUUUUUUCUUCCUCCUUUAAUUCCUGUAUUUAUUUAUGUAUUUCAUUAUGUAUAACAAGUAUUUGUGGUUAAUAAAAUAUUAGAAUUUCAAGUUCUGUUAUUUCUAUUUAUUUUUUAAUUGUUCUCCAACACAAUUGACUUAUAAUCACCUAAAAGAGAUCAAAGUUAUAACCUUAAUUAAUUUUGAAUUAAUUAAGCUAAAUCAAUAAGGUUCUAUUUUUUAAAUUUGUUGAGAGAAGAAAAGUCUGCAAGUUUGACAAACUUUUCUGGAGUCAAACUCAUGUCCACUCGUUUUUUUUUUUUUUUUUUGACAAAAAAGGGACCAUCGGGUGUUUUUUCUGCGAUAGUUCACUUUUUCAGCUGUUAGGAAGACUAAU